rnacentral:rRNA from 1 species
ACGGAGGGCGCGAGCGUUGUCCGGAAUUAUUGGGCGUAAAGGGCUCGUAGGCGGCUUGUCACGUCUGCUGUGAAAAUGCGGGGCUUAACUCCGUACGUGCAGUGGGAACGGGCAGGCUUGAGUGCGGUAGAGGUGGCUGGAAUUUCUGGUGUAGCGGUGGAAUGCGUAGAUAUCAGGAGGAACACCGAUGGCGAAGGCAGGUCACUGGGCUGUUACUGACGCUGAGGAGCGAAAGUGUGGGGAGCGAACAG